CUGGUGUGUGUUUCCUGUACAGGAUGGAACAAGAUGCUCUCAUCCACUUUUACAGACACCAACAAAAAAACCUGGACAAGAAUAACCAGUGCCACAACCAUUACUUCUACUACCAAUAUGAAUGCUGCUGCUGUCAUCACUACUGCUCACACAUCAACAAUCAAACAAGCAUCAUUAUUCGGGGGCUUGAGGCAGCCGUGUGCUAGAUUGAUAGUUCAACAUGUCUUGAUGGAAAAGAAAACUCUUCUCAAUUAAGUUUAUUGAUCAACUUACAACCCAAACUGUCCGUUGUAAUCAUCCAACGCCAGUUUGGAGCCUGACUUCCUGUUUCAACUGUGACCUACAAUAUAAGAAACGGGGCUGCCAAAUUUCACCAACAGUCCGCAGUGAGAUUUACGUGUUUUGGCAGCGGCAGCCCCUCAGCCCAACCCAGUUUCCUGUAAUUGUACAUGCUGUUUGUAAUAGAACAGCACAAGUAGGAAUGAAAACAAUCUGAUAAAAU